UCCCAGGAAGGUUUGCAAGAGUUUCAAUCAGCUAGUAGCAUGCCCCAAGCAUCUCAAACUACAGAGGCUUCUCAAACACCCCAAGUAUCUCAAAACACACAAGCUUCUCAAAUACCCCAAGCACCUCAAUAUUUUAGAAGACCACCAAUUGGAGGUGGUUGUUUUUAUAAUCCAACAACUGGGAAACUACUUUACAUCCUGGUAUGUUAUGGGAGCAGCACAUUGCCUCUGAAACUCUAAUGGCAUCAGGAAGUGGUAUGGCCAAUGAAGAUCUCAAUGUCAGGUUCUCAAUCCCAAUUGAGAAUAUCAUUAAGAAGGAGAGGACCUACACAAAACAGCCCACUGGUGUUACUCCAAGAUCCAUCGGUUUCAGAGGAGCUGGGUCUCAUGUUAGGUAUGCUGAAAAGUAACCAUUUAAGCCACGAGGAGGUCUGAAAUGAAAAGGAGUACCUGCAGUCACUCGUUCACAAUUGGAUAGAGAGGCUCUUGCAAAAUAGAAAGGGAAAGACAACAAGGAUGGUGCAACUACAAGCUGAAGGGGUUCAUGAUUUUGUGGUUUUAUUUUUGUAAGUUCCAUGGGAACUUUUUUGUGGCAACAAACUCUGCCUGCUAGGUUGAUUUUUUUGUAAGUUCCAUAUGAACUUGUUAUGGCCUGAAACAUGGCAUGUUAGGUGAUUUUUUGAAAGUUCCAUAAGAGCUUGUUAUGGCUACAAACUUUGCCAUUUAGUUAUAUUUUUGUAAGUUCCUUGGGAACUUCUUGUAAUGACUUUGAAACUGUCCAUGUUUGAAGUUGUUUAGAAACUUGUUUGCUGGUUAAUAAAUGGCAUUAUAUUGUUUGCUGGGA